GACGAACGCUGGCGGCGUGCUUAACACAUGCAAGUCGAACGAAGUGGCGACCGGGUGAGUAAUACGUGGGUAACCUGCCCUCCUUUUUGGGAUAAGCCUUGGAAACGGGGUCUAAUACCGUAUAAAGGGGGAUGGGCUCGCGGCCUAUCAGCUUGUUGGUGGGGGGAUGGCCUACCAAGGCGGUGACGGGUAGCCGGCCUGGGAGGGUAACCGGGAACAGUGGUACGGGGAUACGGCCCAGGGUCCUACGGGAGGCAGCAGUGGGGGAUAUUGGACAAUGGGCGAAAGCGUGAUGCAGCGAGGGCGCGUGGGGGAUUAAGGCUUUCGGGUUGUAAACCUCUUUCGCUAUCGUACGGGUAGGUGGAGAAGAAGCGCCGGCUAACUACGUGCCAGCAGCCGCGGUAAUAC
rnacentral:rRNA from 1 species